UAUAUAGUCAGAAAGCUAUACUUUUGGUAAGAAUUUAUAUCAUAGCGAUAACUACGCGAUUCGAAACUGUCAUGUGUGUACUGGCAGUGACCGCCGACAGUCGCGAGUACGCAUGUCCGUCCUUUGGAGGGCGGAAGUCAUUCUAACGGAGUUACUAGCAAUACAAAGUGAAGGUGAACGAAGCCUCUCCUGCUGUUGUUGCUGCUGCCUCUGCUGCUGCUGCUGCUGCUGUCAUUAGCUUUCACUUUUGGCCUCCCACUCGCUUCCAGUCCGCCGCUCAUAUAUCUCUCUCGCUCUAUCUCUAUCAAUCACUUUCUGUCUUUCUCUCUCUAUCACUCUCUCUCUCUCUCUCCCCACCCACUAACAGGACAAGUCGUUCAUUCUAUGUGUAUGUUGCGCUUCUCUAUUCCGUACUUUGUGGACGGCCUUGUGAAAGAAAACUGUCCAGCGGCACUUUGCUAGUCAGUGGAGCUAAAACAUCAACCGGACAAAACCCCCCUACGGAAUUGCUUGAUAUCCUUGUUAGUACUAAUACAAGGACCACUUUUUUUUUCCAUAAAGGUAACUCACUUUCCAUCAUUUUUCUCUCGUUUUUCUUUUCUU
rnacentral:lncRNA from 1 species